rnacentral:misc_RNA from 1 species
GAUCACCAUGUAUUUUGUGCCACCCAGGUGCAAACCAGUUGGAGCUAGUGUUCCAGGUUCGUCAAAGUCACUCAUAAUGGCAGUGAUUUCUUCAGACUUGAACUAAAGCAAGCAUCAAAAUAAAAGAAAUUAUCAUGGGUUUAUCAAAAAAGGUCCAACAUACAUAACACUAAUAGAAGUGAUCCGGUGUGUUGAGGAUUCCAACGUUUGAUAAUUUUUUUCAUUUUACACCAUUAUGUUUUGUAUUCAGUCGCGCAUCAAUAAGACAAGUAAAAUAGUAAGCCUUCUCUUUCUCAUUGAUUUCCUUUCCUGACCCUUCCCAGGGACCAAAUAAAAUCAAAACAAGUUGUGACCGUGGUUCCUCUUCCUUUUUGGCAUAUACAUUAAAAUUUGAAAGGUUCUCUCACUUAACUACGGAUAGGGAUUCUCAACUAAAUCGACGAAAUACAAAGAGAAGAACACCAUAUUAAGCAGUAAUCAAGCUAAACCGAGGAUCAACAUACCCAUCAACCAAUUCAACUAGAGUACGCUGACAAUCAUAAAACAAACCAUAUGAGACCGCCAAAUCCCUAAUUACCCCACAUGGGUAUUUUAAUCAUUCAAUAAUCCACAAAAAAGUAAAUUUUAGUAAACAAAAAAUCAUCAAAUCCGAUCGUAAAGGCACCAACUUGAAGCCCAACAAAAAACAAAAACAAAAAUUCAAAUAGGAAAAACAGUUGCGCAUGACCAAUUUCCUUCCAGCAUAUUCCAUCAGCUAAUUAAUAAAGACGGAGAAGAAGCAAAACUAAUAAAUAAAGAAAAAGGGAAAACAAGAAAAAGUCAUUCAGAUCACAUCUAACACCGAAUCUGACCCGAUAAUCAACUUCCAUGGAUCCAAAAAACACACAGGUUAGUUUAGUUUAGGCAAGAGAACAAAAAUAAAAAUGAAAAAAGGAAAAGGAAGCGAGGUGGAGAAAGACCUGAGGGAAGUUGGCGCUCUGGGC